rnacentral:lncRNA from 1 species
UGAUUUAUUGUGGUCUCCCAAUGGCACACAUUUCUGCUGGUUUUGGGAAGAAACUUUAUCUUCUGCCAUAUUAACAGCUUGUGUACAAAGAGCAUCAUUAUUCAUUUGCAUUGUCCCAUCAGGUUUCGCUUCACCACAUUCAGGUGCAUCUGUGUUAACCAACAUUCUCCCUGUGUUCUCAUCUGUUGUUCUCUCAUCCUGCUUCUCCAGCACCGCCGGUUCCUGUGGAUCUGAUUUAUUGUGGUCUCCCAAUGGCACACAUUUCUGCUGGUUUUGCAAAGAAAUUUUAUCCUCGGCCAUAUUAACAGCUUGUGUACAAAGAACAUCAUUAUUCAUUUUCAAGGUCCCAUCAGGUUUCGCUUCACCACAUUCAGGAGCAUCUGUGUCAACCAACAUUCUCCCUGUGUUCUCAUCUGCUGUUCCCUCGUCCUGCUUCUCCAGCACCGCCGGUUCCUGUGGACAAUAUCCAUCAGAUUCUACUAGUAUAUGUAUAUAGAGAGACCCACACGCAAGGGGUGGGGUUAGGGAUCAAAGCUCCAUUACUUUCUCCAUGCAUAAAUCCCACUGGUUCCGUGUUCCCACAUCACCACUAUCAUUGGCGCUCAUGUCUUCCAAGAUCCUCCCAUCUCCAACACCAUUGUCCUGUUUGUCCUGCCUUGCCU